rnacentral:rRNA from 1 species
UACAGAGGUGGCAAGCGUUGUUCGGAAUUACUGGGCGUAAAGGGCGCGUAGGCGGUCUUGUAAGUCUUGUGUGAAAUCCCUCGGCUUAACUGAGGAACUGCACGGGAUACUGCGAGACUUGAGAUCGGGAGAGGGAAGCGGAAUUCCGGGUGUAGCGGUGAAAUGCGUAGAUAUCUGGAGGAACACCGGUGGCGAAGGCGGCGUUUUUGGACUGCAACUGACACUGAGGAACGAAAGCCAGGGGAGCAAACGGG